UACGUAGGGGGCAAGCGUUGUCCGGAAUCAUUGGGCGUAAAGCGCGUGUAGGCGGUUUCGUAAGUCUGCUGUGAAAGUCGGAGGCUCAACCUUCGAAAGCCGGUGGAUACUGUGAGACUUGAGUACGGAAGAGGAGAGUGGAAUUCCUGGUGUAGCGGUGAAAUGCGCAGAUAUCAGGAGGAACACCGGUGGCGAAGGCGGUUCUCUGGGCAUUACCUGACGCUGAGGAGCGAAAGUGUGGGGAGCGAACAGG
rnacentral:rRNA from 1 species